rnacentral:tRNA from 1 species
AUUGAUGUUGCUCAGUGGUAGAGCAUGUGCUUAGCAUGCAUGAGGUUCUGAGUUCAAUUUCCAGCACAAAAA